GGCGCAAGCCUGAUGCAGCGACGCCGCGUGAGGGAUGACGGCCUUCGGGUUGUAAACCUCUUUCAGCAGGGACGAAGCGCAAGUGACGGUACCUGCAGAAGAAGCACCGGCCAACUACGUGCCAGCAGCCGCGGUAAUACGUAGGGUGCGAGCGUUGUCCGGAAUUACUGGGCGUAAAGAGCUCGUAGGCGGUUUGUCGCGUCGUCUGUGAAAUUCUGCAGCUUAACUGCAGGCGUGCAGGCGAUACGGGCAGACUUGAGUACUACAGGGGAGACUGGAAUUCCUGGUGUAGCGGUGAAAUGCGCAGAUAUCAGGAGGAACACCGGUGGCGAAGGCGGGUCUCUGGGUAGUAACUGACGCUGUGGAGCGAAAGCGUGGGUAGCGAACAGGAUUAGAUACCCUGGUAGUCCACGCCGUAAACGGUGGGUACUAGGUGUGGGGCUCAUUUCACGAGUUCCGUGCCGUAGCUAACGCAUUAAGUACCCCGCCUGGGGAGUACGGCC
rnacentral:rRNA from 1 species